rnacentral:lncRNA from 1 species
AUGAGCAGCACCUUUACAACCAGCAUGACAAGCAAGUUUGGUCCAGAGGCUACAUCUUCCUACGCCACAACCCGCCUUGAGCCGUCAAGUCCAGACCCUGGUGGGAGCCGGUCCACUCUCCCGAAUGCUUCUGCAGUGAAAUCUCUGGAUUCAGGCGUACCUGUCACUUCAUUUCCUGUAGGGACCAGCCCAAACUCAACAACUCCCAUGUCUGUGGAGCCAUCUAAAUCUUCAUCCAUGAGGACUAACAAGACUUCUCCAUCAUCCCCUCCCACUUCCAAGGUCUCAGGCACUGGGACAAGUAUAUCUGUUACUCCAGCCCCAAGGUGGGGGGAGAGCUCAUUGUCUCCGGGCCCCACGUCCAGCAGAGCGGUCCCCAGGAUUCCCCCUGUCACAUUUUCUCCUCCCCACCAGGACUCCGGAAUAGAUGUCACAUCUGACCGAGUGACAAGCACAGACCUGCUUUGGUCUACUCCCUUAGCUACGACCCCCUUGAAGGUAGGUUCCAGCCCCACCGAGACAAUUCCCUCUAGGCUCACAACCUUGACAACAAGAACCGUGGCAGAGAGUGUACCCCCUUCCAAAGUCACGUCAGUCCCUCCACUGUCAGCGACCUCGGCUUCUGGCAGCAGCGCUCUGCAGGUAGAGAUGAAUAUGGCUACCUCUGCAGAAGGCCCUCCUUCCCAGGCAAGGAGCUCUCCCUCCCUGGAUCCUACUCCAUUUCAGGAGCCUUUGUCUUCUGGAAUCUUCCCUGAAAUGACUGCCCAUAUGUCUUUGGGCCCGAUUUCAUCCAGCUUUCCCACUUCCACUCCUCCUGCAUCCUGGGUAAGCACAGCAUCUCCUGAUGCUAUGCCUUCUCAGGGGGCCACUGGGACAGCCAGCAUCACUGCAGGAUCAGAGAAGGACACUGCAGGAUCAUCCACACAAGCUACCAUUACCUCUAUGGCUGCUAACCAUCCGGUCUCUCACCUGCAAGAGACCACAGUGAGAGUGGGCAGCACCCCGAAGAAAGAGACAGCUCCUGAUUCCACUCCUUCUACCUCUCUGUUGUUGACAAGUAAGGCUCCAAACUUCCCUUUAGGGAAUGGUGCAGGGGGACCUUGGAAAAAAGACUGA